CCCUGGUGGUUUAAAUGGUAAAGAAUCUGCCUGCAAUGCAGGAGACUCGGGUUUGAUCCCUGAGUCAGGAA
rnacentral:tRNA from 1 species